UACAAAAUCAAUGGCUAUUCUAUGGCUGUUCCAUUUUUUUAUUCCUCAUCUCUUUCUCUCUCUUCCAUCUAUUAGUAUAUUCUUAUUCCAAUUGUUUCCAAUUCUCCGAUUACAAAAUCAAUGGGCUAUUCUAUGAUGCACCGUCAAAGCUAUCCAGGAAGAGAAUUCCGACCUUCAAUGCUUUGUUUAUACGAAAGAUCACAAUGUUACACUGGGCACUUGAUCGAUUUCGUGUUACCCUUUUGUCCCAUCCUAAGGUCCCCAUCGAUCUCUCAAUUCUCUCUCUUUGAAUUGCAUCAUAGGUCCCAUCAAUCUCUCCAUUCUCUCUCUUUAAAUCUAUAGCUCUUGGUUACUGUUAUGAAGUAAAUAUUACCAGAGUUUAGUCUAGGCUGCAAUCAACGAUAUUGUUAUUUAGUGAUUUACAAGGACAUUGGACUGUGUGAUAAUUUACUUGGGAAAUUGCUUCUAAUUGUAAAUGGUAGGAAAUCUUGGGGCAUUUUUAGUGCAGUUUAUUAUCCGAAAUCUUGGGGCAUUUUUAGUGCAGUUUAUCAUCCAGUGCAGUUUAUUAUCCAGUGUAAAAAUAUUUAGUAUGGAAUAAGAUUUGAUCUGUUUGAAAUUAAA